rnacentral:lncRNA from 1 species
GAAGAAGAUGAGACUGUAGACAAAAAGCCAACUCUACUCAGUGCCCAGGAAGAUACUCCUGACCUUCUCUAUGAGGACAGAUUACAGUGUCUGCAGGAAGAGGGUUCCGGUGUGAUUCAUCAGGAAUGUCAGAUCCAGUCCUGUGAGCUCUCGAUGGCUCAGAAGCCCAGGCCCUCUUCUCCUGCAGUGACAUCCUUGGCAUCACCACCACUCUGCUUUGGCAGUUUCCUAAGCUGUGUCUGCCAGACCAUCUCAAGGUCUAGGAAGCAGAAGCCUCGCAGAAGAAAGGGUAACAACCAGGCUGAGGCAGGAGUAGGACACUUUUCUAACGUCAGUCAUGCUUUGAUACUUUUAGUUGUCUAAAAAGUCGUUGAUUUCUCAUUUUAAACAGUAUUGAGUUUUCUUGAGCUAAUUGACCACGAUAAAUGGGUUUUAUUACAUAAAAUUUCAAAUUAUCCAAACUAUAUCUAUAUUUACAUACAUAUUUUCUCCAUUUAAUACAAGAAGCACACUCCCAGGUGAGGCAUAAUGUAUGAAAGUCCCGAGUCGUAGAGCCUGUUAUUAAAAGCUCACCAGAAUGCAGGUAUUUGUGCUGCUAUUAUACUUUAUUAUUGUUAUUAUUUAUCAUAAUAAGUGUUUCAGGUUAGUUGUUCUGUCAUAGAAAAACUAUUAGUGGGAGCCUAGUUAGCCAUAUCUUCAGCCCCAUCUACAAUACUGAUUUUCACAUAAAAGUUAUUUGCUAC